rnacentral:snoRNA from 1 species
UUCGCUGCUGUGAUGAUGCAAAUUUGUGGACUAGAGUUUCCGAUCUGGGUCUCAAGCCCCAGAAGUUGAAGACUAACCCUUGGCUGUCUGAGCAUAAAU